rnacentral:misc_RNA from 1 species
UCUCCGUUGGUGAACCAGCGGAGGGAUCAUUACAGAGUUGCAAAACUCCCAAACCAUUUUGAACGUUACCUAUCCCGUUGCUUCGGCGGGCGGCCCGGCCCCCGCACCCGGCGCCCCCCCGCCCCCCGUCGGAGCCCGCCGUAGGUAAACAAAACCCUUGAAUUACCUGACAUCACUGAGUCUUUUGUACUGAAUAAGUCAAAACUUUCAACAAGGGAACGCUUGGUGCUGGCACCGAUAGAGAACGCACGAAAUCCGAAGAACACACCUCUGAACGCC